rnacentral:rRNA from 1 species
UACAGAGGUCUCAAGCGUUGUUCGGAUUCAUUGGCGUAAAGGGUGCGUAGGCGGCGCGGUAAGUCGGAUGUGAAAUCUCGGGCUUAACUCCGAAACUGCAUUCGAUACUGCCUGUGCUUGAGGACUGGAGAGGAGACUGGAAUUUACGGUGUAGCGGUGAAAUGCGUAGAUAUCAAGCAGAACACCUGCGGCGAAGGCGGCCUUCUGGACGAUGACUGACGCUGAGACGCGAAAGCGUGGGGAGCAAACAGG